ensembl:lncRNA
AUUUUUUUCUUCCAUUUGGGCUCCGACCUCCAUCUGUUUAUGGAAAUAUUUAGAUUCCUCUGGUGUAUUUUUAGCAGAUCGUUUUGCUUUUGCUGCUGCAAUAUCAUUGCAUCAUCAUUCUCCUGUUGCUCAGCUCCAAUUCCUCUCUCUCUUUUCUUCUUUCUUUUUCUCUUCAGCUUCAAUCAUUCCAGCAUACAAAAAAAAAUUUUUUUUUUAAAUGGUAUGCUGUGUUUACACUCUAAAUGCUCACACAAAAAGUGUCAGCAAAGUGCACACAGAUAUAUGUACACAUUGUGGGUUGUCAUCAGUGUAGUGGUAGGCUUUUUUCCAUCCGUGAAUUAUCCUGCCUGAGACAAGAUGAGUUGGCUGCCCAGGAGCUGAGAUCUCAGUCUUAGAGGUACCGCCUCUAAACAGAUGAAGUCUGAAGAACUUCUGCCUAAGGCCAGAACCAAGAGAAUGGAAGAAGAUCUCCUCUGAAUCUAUCAGCCUGAAAGGAGAAACAGCAGCUACUGCUGCCACUGAUGUGUGAAAUCUGCUGCCCAGAAGGAAGCCUUUGUAGCUGCUGUUCAGCCUGCCUCAGUCUGCAAACACCAGAUCCAUCUGCAACUUGAGCUAAGGGAGUAUUUCACCACCUGCUUGCAGAGCAGGGCCUGAGAAACACUCCCAAGCUGUUGUGCUGCUACCUCUAAGUAGGCAGCACCACUCCUAUGCUCUUCCCUCUCUAAUAAACAUUAUUCAGUCCCUGACCCCAUAUGUUUCUUUCUGGGAGUACAACCCAGCCAUGUGUCAGGACAAAAUCUUCCAUUUUGGCUGGACUUGUGGCAUUGACCUAUCCCCAGUAAUUUGCCUUUCCAAAGUCCUUGGGAGAAGCACCCAGCUGCAAAGCAAUUUAAAUGGAUGAGGAGCCAACAAGUGCUCUAAAUGGCUUAUCUGAUUCUGUGGGGAAUCCAUCUGGAGCCAAGAGCUUUUCCCAUCUGCAUAACAGUGAUUAUGCUGCUUCUCACCCUCAUCCUCCAUAAAGCUCUUUUAAAACUCUAACAUAAUCCCCUGCCCUUCUACCCACACUAAGGCAGCAACACUCUCUGGAGCAAAAUGAGCUCACAGAAGGAGAGCUUCACUUCAUCAGGAACACACCAGUCCCUAGUGUUUGGUUAUACGGUGGCCAUCCACAUGAAACACUCAAGCAGAGCACGUGCUCUUUCUCAUCAGGUAAAGCAAUUUGAAUGAACAAAAUAGAGUUCUUCCCUGAGGAUGCUGUGGUUGCACGAAAAAAUAUUCCAAAGCUUGGUACAAUCCCAUGACUGCCGCACCCACAUGGAACUACCCUAGAUCAUCUUUUCUGCACAGCCUGAAAGCUUGAAUUCACCAAUACACAAGUCUGUCAUGGGCCCAGUGAGCUGGACAGACACCAUUUUCCCACCACAUACUGCUUGUACUAAGGAAGUUUUCUCAACCUUCACUGCACUGCAGAGAAGUAGUUGCUGGCAUCCUGGCCCACACUGGCUCCACUUGGUGAUCCUAUGCUGAACCUCUCCACUUGCAUCUCUGAAAUGCAGGCAAGGGGAUCCAUAGUUUGGAUAAGGAAAUCUGGACUGAAGAUAGCACCAGUGCACAAUGCCUAAAAGGACUUUUCCUUUGUGGAGCUCUUUUUGUGGAAAUCUGCAGCUGUCCAAUGCCAGCCAUGGCUCUCUCUCCAGCAGGCCAUGAGCAAGGAAGAAGCUCCAUGAAGGUGCACAGGAAGAGAGCAAGUGGUGUGCUGAUACCUCCCCAGAACACUACCCCAAGCUCCUGACAUUUCUAUCCUGCAGACAUCCUGAGCCACUCAUGGUGUCUUCAUACUGACCAGUCCUCGAUGGACUCAAGUUAGACAAAUUAACGGGAGAAAAAUCUUCAGCACAGAGUACCACAGCUUACCAAUUUCUGAUGAAUAAAUAUCUUCAAGUUUUUUGUUUUAUAUUUGCUGUAUGAUACCCUCCAAUUUUUCUGCCUUUUGAAUAUCUCCUCUGAUACUUGUGAUGCUUGACCCAAAUGAGAUGCAGAAGCUCUUUUUAAUUAGUUUAUAUAGAAUAAUAAGCUUUACUUAAACAUGGAAAUUGUAAAUAAAGACAAGAUCUCGGCUGAUUUCCCUCUGAAAAGCCCAUAGUUGCCCAAACAUACCUAAUCAUUUGCCUUCAUCUAGCCCACAUUUUUCUUAUUAGAAUGAUCUUCUGUCUUUGACUGUAUAAGACUUUAUUUUUGUAUCCUGGG